AGCGCAGGCGGUGACUUAAGUCUGAUGUGAAAGCCCACGGCUCAACCGUGGAAGGUCAUUGGAAACUGGGUCACUUGAAUGGAGCAGAGGAGAACGGAAUUCCAUGUGUAGCAGUGAAAUGCGUAGAUAUAUGGAGGAACACCAGUGGCGAAGGCGGUUCUCUGGGCUCACAUUGACGCUGAGGCUCGAAAGCGUGGGGAGCGAACAG
rnacentral:rRNA from 1 species